rnacentral:rRNA from 1 species
UACGUAGGGGGCAAGCGUUGUCCGGAAUUAUUGGGCGUAAAGAGCGUGUAGGCGGCCAGAUAAGUCCGCUGUGAAAUCUCGAGGCUCAACUUCGAGCUGUCGGUGGAAACUAUCUGGCUAGAGUCCGGAAGAGGAGAAUGGAAUUCCUGGUGUAGCGGUGAAAUGCGCAGAUAUCAGGAGGAACACCGGCGGCGAAGGCGGCACUCUGGGCCGGUACUGACGCUGAGGAGCGAAAGCGUGGGUAGCAAACAGG